CCAAGGUUAGUUUAAGGAAAACUAGGUUUUUUCAAAACGUUAAUAGGUCAAAAAUCACUGACUUACUUUGGU
rnacentral:tRNA from 1 species